GCAAAAGAUUCGGGCGCUUGUUCGAUAUCACGUAGAGACAGAUCGCAUUGCUGCCGAUCAAUUGUCAUAUCGAGUACUUGAUGGCAGUCUUGAAGAUAGACAUUGCCGGUAGACUGGCAAGUCAAAAACGAUUCAAAGUCUUUCGUCAGCAGAACUCGAUCAUCCGUCGAAAUGGACAAGAGGUGAUAUCCAUUGCUUUGGCUGGAGAGCAGCGGUGUUCCUAAACGAUCGCUCAAAUGAUGACGGAACAACUUAUUAUGAGUUCAGGUGUUAAAAGAUCUCACCAUCGAUUGCAGAGGCAUUUAGGAAGCCUCUCCUCUGCUCCAUGUCGAAAUAACGCAAGAUCCCCACCAAGUGAUUAUUUUCCGCAUGACCAACUAGGAUGGUGUCAUCUUUGAAUUGGAGUAUCACUCGCCCCUCCAACUGAUCAGCCAGAAAGUUGCCCGAAAUUGACCUAAUACCCGGGUGGGAAAUUGAUAGACAUCGGCCCGUUCUAAAGCCGUGUUUGAAUUUCCCGUGAUCGUUGAUAUGGCUCGGGAAGGUCAGAAUGCCAUGGCCAUUGAAAGGACCUCGCUUGACCUUCGACUUCUCCAUGCUCUUCAAGAAAAAAAAUGUUAAAAUUGUGGAUGUCAUUGACUGGUUAAGAACAACAAAAAGCAAGAAAAAUCAAGCGGCCCUUGAUUAAGCCAUGUAAGUGUGGCGGUAAAUGUAUCUGGAGGAAGGGUUAAAAACUCUUACCUGAUAAUUGUAACCAAAGAUAGCUCCACGUUGGGAGCAAUCGACGAUGGAAAAUAUUUCUCCACUCCCUCCUCCCGGUCCUUCCAUCUUCACGGCAUCAACCUGAUCCACCGCCACGUCUUUGGUGUCGCUCCUUUUGCAAUCAUAUUUCAAGUCGGUAAAGUCGGCGAACCACGACUUUAAUUCCUGUUUGGCGUUAAUUGUCGUUGAGUGGACGCAAGCUUCAAAAAUGGCAACCGAACAAAGGAAUCUUCCAAAAUUUGAUUUAAGAUCCGGCAUGGUGCAAAUCCGGCAGGAAAUGAGAGUCACUAUAACACCACAACUUCACGCGGAAUGGCGCUUGUCUCAGAAAUACCUAGACCAAGUUAGACAACUACAACACACAACAGCUCUUCCCUCCAUUGACGGAUAAGCGUAGAAGAGAAGAGAAAUUAUGCUUCGUACAAGAAAAGCGAGCUCUCCCGAUUCGUUCUGACAGCGCCACCACAGGUGUCAUGAAAUGAAUUCAUUGACCAUGUCCUGGAGUGAUCCUGAGUGUGGCUGAAGACACUGAAGUCAUUUUUCCCAAAAAGAGGCCUGCCCAAUUCACGCCAAUCUUCUCUGUCAUUCAGCCACCACAAGCUGGCUUGGUGGUUUCUAUCUACCUUAAAGGCAGCCACAUCAAGCACAAGGAAGCCCGUUGUGGGACAAUUGCUAUUGUAAUUGCCUCUUCCGGCCUUUUUGAGCCUGCCAUCGAACCUGAGCAUGAAUUGACAAGACACCUGUUCGUGUUAUGUCCUUCACUUUUGGAAAUGAAGAGAUCACGUCGGAUAUCAAUAAUCUUUAUUCCAGAUAGUCCCGGAUGCUACAGUAUGCGCAUUGAUUUUUUGCAUUUUCAAACAAGGUUAUAUCGAGCAAAAUAGAAACUGAAAGAAGAGUCGUACAAUUAUUGUUAUUUUUGUCCUGUUGUUAAGGAAGAGUUGUAGGGAUACCUUAAUUACAGCUC